UACGUAGGCAGCAAGCGUUGUUCGGAGUUACUGGGCGUAAAGGGUGUGUAGGCGGUUCUCUAAGUUUGGUGUGAAAUCUCCCGGCUCAACUGGGAGGGUGCGCCGAAAACUGGAGAGCUAGAGUACUGGAUGGGAGAGUGGAAUUCCUGGUGUAGCGGUGAAAUGCGUAGAUAUCAGGAGGAACACCGGUGGUGUAGACGGCUC
rnacentral:rRNA from 1 species